rnacentral:rRNA from 1 species
UCGAGGGGCAUCAUGCUUAUAGCAAUAUAAGUGAUGGCGACCGGCGCACGGGUGAGUAACACGUAUCCAACCUGCCGAUAACUCGGGGAUAGCCUUUCGAAAGAAAGAUUAAUACCCGAUGGCAUAAUAGAACCGCAUGGUUUGAUUAUUAAAGAAUUUCGGUUAUCGAUGGGGAUGCGUUCCAUUAGGCAGUUGGUGGGGUAACGGCCCACCAAAGCGACGAUGGAUAGGGGUUCUGAGAGGAAGGUCCCCACAUUGGGACUGAGAUACGGCCCAGACUCC